rnacentral:rRNA from 1 species
GAUGAACGCUGGCGGCGCGCCUAAUACAUGCAAGUCGAGCGAACGGACGAGAAGCUUGCUUCUCUGAUGUUAGCGGCGGACGGGUGAGUAACACGUGGAUAACCUACCUAUAAGACUGGGGUAACUUCGGGAAACCGGAGCUAAUACCGGAUAAUAUUUUGAACCGCAUGGUUCAAAAGUGAAAGACGGUCUUGCUGUCACUUAUAGAUGGAUCCGCGCUGCAUUAGCUAGUUGGUAAGGUAACGGCUUACCAAGGCAACGAUGCAUAGCCGACCUGAGAGGGUGAUCGGCCACACUGGAACUGAGACACGGUCCAGACUCCUACGGGAGGCAGCAGUAGGGAAUCUUCCGCAAUGGGCGAAAGCCUGACGGAGCAACGCCGCGUGAGUGAUGAAGGUCUUCGGAUCGUAAAACUCUGUUAUUAGGGAAGAACAUAUGUGUAAGUAACUGUGCACAUCUUGACGGUACCUAAUCAGAAAGCCACGGCUAACUACGUG